GGGGCUUGCAAAGGGGUGUGCAGUGGGGCUUGCAAAGGGGUGUGCAUGGGGGGUGCAGAGGGUGUGCAAAGCAGCUGGCACAGGGCUGUGCUAAGGGGGUUGCAAAGGAGGUGCAAGGGGGUGUGCGAAGCAGUUUGCACAGGGAUGUGCACAGGGGGUGCAAAUGGCGUGCAAAGGGAUGUGCGAAGAGCGUGGAAGGGGGUCUGUACGCAGUUUGCAAAGGGAUGCGCACAGGGGGAMGCAGAGAGCUGGGCCCAGGGGCUGGCGGGGUGGUCUGCGAAGGGCCGUGCCCGGCUGCACGCGUAGCGUUGCCCAGCUCCUGCGGCAUCGCGCCGCGUGGGCGCGGGUGGGCUGCUUUCCAUACCCCCAUCGCGGGUUGCCCGAAGUGCCUCUGUAAUUACAAAAGCAAAUACUGCCUGUCUUCCCGAGACCUCUUCUUCCUUUGAAUCCAAAAAUAAUCCCCUGCCGGAACCAAUAUUUCACUGAAAAGUAAAUCCAGCCCUUUAAGAGCUGGGAGUUUUUACUGAGAUAACAACAAAAAUGCUGAGGUAGAAAAGGAGGGAAUAACUAAAAAUCUUUCCCCUUGGGUUCUUCCACGGUUUUGCAAACAUGUCUCUGAGUUUGAUAUUUUUUCCCCUCCCUGCAUAAACAAGCUUUUAUGUAGUACUUGCUGUAAUCUUGUUUGCCUCCAUAACCACUCCUAUGAAUGUCAUAAAAAAUUUAAGUCUAAUAUUUUACCACUCCAUGCAAACAGAAUGCGAAUAAACGCUUAUCUUCCGUGCAGGGGAAGGGACGCGAGCGCGGCGGGAGGCAGAGCGAGGGUAACGCUCCCCGAAACCAGGCUUGGUCGGCGACGCUUCGGCCCGCGCCGGUGGAGGAGAAGGAAGAGAACCCGGAGAUGGAGGUUUCCUCAGAAAAGGUGCGGGAAAAAUAGUGAACCGGGAUCCCAAGGAGCGUCGGCAGUGCAGCCCGUCAGACCACCUCUACCGCCUGUUUGCUUACGAGUUGCGAGCAAGUGUGUUAGCUGCAGGUCAGGAAAAGCCCAGAUUUUGGAGGAAAAAGACGACGAAGCAGCGUUGCAUCCCUUUUGUUUCGGGCUGCUCUGGAGAAGGCCCAGCCCGGUGAGYGGCCCUUCUCCCUCGGUACCGUACCCGGCACCAAAGCUGGCGUGCCACGGAAACACACAUCACUGGGGUCCCACGGCAGGUGAGAAAAAAAAAAAAACGUGAUUUUUUUUUUUUUUUCCAUGCAAAACGUUGCCCACCCAAGCUGGAAAUGCCCGUGCGUGACGGGGCUCACUCGUUCGKCGGGGCACCCCAGCACGUGCCGGCACCCCUUGGCAGUGCGCUUCCCCCGGCAGCGCCCGCUUUCCCGAGCRUGUGAGCCGCUUCUCCAAAGUCAGCUCAAUAGCUUUAGGAAAACAACAGGAGCUCGCGGCCUUUUAGAAAUUCAURGCAUAAAGCAUCUUUUGAUUAUUCUGUCUUUUAUUUUCCUAAUAACCAGUCAAAAAAACAUUUUUUAGGGAAAUAAUUGUGUACGGAAAAAAAAAUCAGRUGCUGUUAUUUGCAUAAUUACAAGGAACCUGAUUUUAUCUCCCAGCUUUGUCAAAAUAAAGAGGAAUUAUUUCAYGCCGUAUUUUGGAGG
rnacentral:lncRNA from 1 species